GUGGGGAAUAUUGGACAAUGGGCGAAAGCCUGAUCCAGCCAUGCCGCGUGUGUGAAGAAGGUCUUCGGAUUGUAAAGCACUUUAAGUUGGGAGGAAGGGCAGUAAGUUAAUACCUUGCUGUUUUGACGUUACCGACAGAAUAAGCACCGGCUAACUUCGUGCCAGCAGCCGCGGUAAUACGAAGGGUGCAAGCGUUAAUCGGAAUUACUGGGCGUAAAGCGCGCGUAGGUGGUUUUGUAAGUUGGAGGUGAAAUCCCCGGGCUCAACCUGGGAACGGCCUCCAAAACUGCAUGACUAGAGUACGGUAGAGGGUAGUGGAAUUUCCUGUGUAGCGGUGAAAUGCGUAGAUAUAGGAAGGAACACCAGUGGCGAAGGCGACUACCUGGACUGAUACUGACACUGAGGUGCGAAAGCGUGGGGAGCAAACAGGAUUAGAAACCCGAGUAGUCC
rnacentral:rRNA from 1 species